GUGGGGAAUCUUCCGCAAUGGACGAAAGUCUGACGGAGCAACGCCGCGUGAGUGAUGAAGGUCUUCGGAUUGUAAAGCUCUGUUAAUCGGGACGAAAGAGCCUAGUGUGAAUAAUGCUAGGAAGUGACGGUACCGGAAUAGAAAGCCACGGCUAACUACGUGCCAGCAGCCGCGGUAAUACGUAGGUGGCAAGCGUUGUCCGGAAUUAUUGGGCGUAAAGCGCGCGUAGGCGGAUCUGCCAGUCUGUCUUAAAAGUUCGGGGCUUAACCCCGUGAUGGGAUGGAAACUACAGAUCUAGAGUAUCGGAGAGGAAAGUGGAAUUCCUAGUGUAGCGGUGAAAUGCGUAGAUAUUAGGAAGAACACCAGUGGCGAAGGCGACUUUCUGGACGAAAACUGACGCUGAGGCGCGAAAGCCAGGGGAGCGAACGGGAUUAGAUACCCCAGUAGUCC
rnacentral:rRNA from 1 species